GCAGCAGGAAUUAAGAACCUUGUAAGGUUGGGGCAACUUAUUGCCCACAAAGUGCGUGCUCUUGGGAGCAACUCAGGUGAUAUAGAAUCACAUUCUUCCAAUGUCAAAUCCUCGAGAAACAUGUUGCAAUAACUCAUCUCACCAUCUGGCGACUCCAAUUUCAGUUCCCGGCAAUGAUAUAUCCAUAUUGUCUUCAAGGUACUUGGCAGUAUGCUAAAAGGUAAGGAGGUAAGAGAGUUGCAAUCACCAACAGAUAAAUCAACAAUCUGCUUCAUUCCCUCAAGUUGGGAUGUAAACAGUCCAGCCUCAUAAAAAAGAAGAGAAUCAAAAACACCAAAUAUUUGUAAACUUGAAAGUUGGAUAGGUGUCUCCAAAUUGAGUUCAGGACAUCUUGAAAUACUCAAUUCUGUAAGAGAACAAAGAUUUUCAGGCAACUUCCCCAUUAACUUAGGACAAUUUUCAAUUGAAAGGUUCUCAAGUGUAGAAAAUUCUCCAUUUCCUAGUACGUGCCAUUGCUUCCACUCCGGCAUCCCUUCAAAUUCAAGCUUCUCAAGAGAGUUAAAAGGCUUUUUGGAGUAUGAACUACCAUAAAAUUCUUCCGUCACCUCUGUUAUUCGAUGCAUCCCUCUAAUCGAAAGGAAUUUCAAAGAAGGAAGCUGUCCUAGUGCUGGCAAGGAAUCACAGUCCUUGCAGUUGCUAAGAGACAAUUGUACUAGCUUAAGAAACAAAGGAUCAGCUAGCCAAUUUGGAAAUUUUGUUCCUCUAUAUCCGGUGAUUUGGAGUUGUUUUAUGUUUGUGUGAGGGUGUAGCUCAUCAAGUAUGUCUCUUUCAGUUUGUGAAUUGUCCGCAACACUUUCGCUCCACUCCAAUGAUAACUUCUCAACAUGAUUCUUCUCCCUCAUCUUUGCCUUCACAGCUUCCCUUCUAUCAACCACAUUUUGCAACUCUAAAACUGAUAGAGAUCCAUACAAGUUCUGCACUUCACCCAAAUCUUCCAUUCUCAAACCACCGCGACCACCUAGAAGUAACUUGGCUCCCGCUAGCACUUGGAGGCUUAUCAACUUGCUCAGAUGUAGCGGCAUCUUCAAGCGAGAAGUGUUGCUUAUGUCAAGAUGACAUAAGUUGAUUAGCCUUUCCAUCUGCAGCGGUAACUCCUCAAGACAAUAACAAGAUGACAAGAGAAGUGUCUCCAAGUUAUACAAUGCACAAAUGGAAUCUGGAAACCUUUUAAUCGCUGUUUGAGAAAGGUCCAAAAAUCUCAGGAGCUUUAAUUUGAUAAACAAGUCAUUUGGCAACUCAACAAUCUCAUAGUGUGACAAUGAUAAUUCCCUUAAGGAUGUUAGUCUUGGUAAAAUGUUAUGCAUCACCCUAUUGCUUAGCCUAUUUCAGUGAUAGUUAGUGAUUGGAAGCAAUGUCCUUAACUGCUCUAAUUUUUAGAGGGGUUUCAACUUUUCAAAGUCGCCAUAGCCCAUUAAAUAAGACAUGUGCCGAAUUUGCUCCAACAUACGAGAUCCUUUGUUCUCUUCAAACCUAAUACAAAGUUUUGAAGAUGCAAUUUGGGCUAAAUCAUUGACCAGGUCAUGCAUUAAGAAUCCAUCUGGUUUCCCUUUAAACUUUGGGACCCUUUCGAACAAUGAUCUUGAUAUCAACUCGAGAAAGUAUUGGUUACCGGAAUGCAACUUCGGUAAAAUACCAUUAGCUAUCCACAGGUGAAUAACUUGGUCUUUACAAAAUUGAUAAUCUUUGGGAUAUAUUGCACAAAAAGCAAAACAUCGCUUCAAAUCUGGAUGAAGAUCAUUGUAGCUCAACAUCAAUGCUGGUAAUAUACCAUUAAAACAACUUGGCAGCUCCCAUAUUUCACUUCUUAAAAUGUCUCUCCACUCAUCCACCUCUGAUUUUCUGCGUAAAAUACCAGCAAGUGCCUUUAGAGCUAAAGGCAACCCUCCGCACUUGUCUGCAAAUUUUUUUCCAACCUCUUCCAAUUCUGGAUGUUCCUUAGGAUCCCUAUUUUCUAGUGAAUGUCGUUUGAAUAAAUCCCAAGAGACUUCACUAGAUAGAGUUCCCACGUUGAUUGCUCCACUACCCAUCAUCAAAGCAACACUCUCCUUACGUGUAGUUACAAUGAUCUUACUUCCCAUAUGUCCUUGUACAAAAAGAUUUCUCAAGUCAUCCCACUCAUGAUAGUUAUCAUUCCACACAUCAUCAAGGACAACAAGAAACUUCUUACCUUUCAGGCUUCCCUUCAAUUUGACUUGUAGCUGAUUAAGAUUGUCGUCAUCCUUUAAGUCAAAUGAGCCAACUUCUUGAAGUAACCCUUUUGUUAUUCUGAAAGCAUCAUAUGCCUCAGAAACACAAAACCAAGCUUUCAAACCAAAAUGGUGCUUCACCUUGUCAUUAUUGUAAACCACUUUAGCAAGUGUUGUCUUACCCACGCCGCCCAUUCCAACAAUAGGAACUACAGUCAGUUUUUUCCCACAUGCAUCUUCAGACAUUAAACGGUCAAUCAAAUCCUCUAUUUCGCUCUGCCUACCAAAGAUAUCAGAAUCAUCAACCAAAGAAGUUGAAGGUGUUCUAGUUUCUUGUUUAAUCGAACCAAAAUACUCCUUUAAGCCAAGGCGACCAAUUUGUUUUUCCAACACCUCCAAUGUUUCAAUGGUUUCUUCCAACUUGUCCUUUAUGUUAAGAAAGAAAUCAUCACUUACUUGCUGGUUGCUUGUUUCUGCAAGAUUUUGAUGCUGACCUUCAACCUUAAGUCUCAAAGCCUCAUAAUUGACAUCUUCCAUUAAGUUUUCAGCAGAGUCGACAGCAUGUCGAAACUCAUUAAGCCACUGGCUCACAAAUUGAUUUGAUGUCUGCUUAUUCUCUGCAUCACUUAGCACAACUUGAAGACCAAGCAAAGUCAUUCUCAGCUUCUUUAAGAGACGAACAUCAUUCUUAUGCUUCUGAAACAUCUUGAGCAGCUCACCCUGAGGUGCAAGCCUAUCAAAGAGAACAUUCAAAGCUGAAGAGAGAAAUGCACCACCAACUGCUAAGCCAACCUCCAUUUCUGAAAUCUGAAAAUCAAAACAAGAAUGAUUUUGAGAAGAUAAAAUGUUUAUAUCUUCAAUUUCCUUUACCUGUUGAAUGCUAAAGAGUAACUUGCAAACAAGAAUGAUCACUGAUUUCUCUUUCUCUCUCUCUUUUGCUACUAAUGGUCUUACUUAUAAUUCUCUUUUCCAUAAUUAUGACUUUUCACCCAACAACAAGAGUCAAUAAUGGGCUAUUUUUUUUAUUGGGGUUGGAGUGGGGGGAGAUGGACAGCCAUAGAAGGAAAAAAUAAUCAAAACUCCUUUCCAUGAGUGUGACUUUUCAAAGGUAUCUAUAAUUUGAGAGAAUACAUCAAAUACUCCUAAACUUGGCAGCAAAACUUACUUGAACACUUUAAUUACUUGGGCAUUUAAAUACUCCUUAUUACAACUUCGAAGUGAAUUUAAAACCACCCUUAGAUUAUAAUACCACUCUCACUUGUCACAUCAUAGCCAUAUAAGUGACACAACAUAGCCAUGUCAGUAGGGUGUGCAAAAAGCGAACCAAUCGAUAAAUCGAAUCGAAAAAGUGUUGUUGGUUUAUUAUCCUCGAGUUAUUGGGUUAACUGUUUUUUAAUGGUUUUAUAAAAAAAAUCGGGUAAUUGGUUCGGUAUUGGUAUUUAAUAUUGGGUUAAGCGAUAACCCAUUAAGACUAUAGUAAUUUACUAUUUUUACCUGUACAUAAAUAUAAAUGUUAAUCUCAAUAUCUUACUAGUUAUGUCUUUGUCAUUUAGCCUUCAAUUCACACUUCACUGUGACUUUUUGAGUUCACAACUUCACAUUAUACAAACAGUUAAAACCUAAAGUAAGAACUCUGUUCCUCUUAAUUUCUCUGUGUGUUACACCUGUAUAGUUCUUUUCAUGUUUGCUAUUAUUAUUUCUAGUUUAUGAGCAUUUGUAAAGUUGCAUUAUUCUUGUCACGUCAAAUUAUCAUAUAUUUAUUUAUCAGUAUUUACUUAUUGGUUAAACAGAAAACCGAAUUGUUAAGGAUCAAAAUCGCUAAACCAAAAACCGAUAAAAAAUAUCUUAUUGGUUUGGUCAUUGGUUUAGCAUAUUUAAAAACUGAAAACCAAUAAAUCGAACCGAUAAUACAUAAAACCGAAUUGAACUGACCGAUGCACACCCCUACAUGUCAGCACCACGUCAUUAAUUAAUUUUUUAUUAAUUUUUUUCUUUAACGCUUCUUAAAAUUAAUUACACUAAUUAAUUAAUUAAAAAUACAUUUUUGAAAAUUAAAAUUUAAAAUGUGGACCCAUUUUUAUUCCCCCCCCCCCCAAACUGGUCCAAAAUGUCCUUUUCCUAAUAAAUAUAUUAGUAUAUUUUUUUUUCUUUUUAACCAUAUUUUAUUCCUAAUAAAGAUAUUACUAUUAAAGAAUCCAAUUUUUGUCUCUUUUCUUUUAAAAUCACAUUAACUAAUAAAUAAGUAGGAAAUAUUUUUUUUCUACUCUCAUUUUAACCAUUAAAAUAGAAUAACUUCAUGUACCAUUUUAACUGAUAAUAUAGGUCAUAUAUAUAAGAUCAUAGUAACCCUAUCAUUAAUUUUUAUUUAGAUAAUGAUAAAAAAAAAAUAGAAGAUAUUUUUAUAUCUUAAUCAUUUCCAAAUUGAAGUAUUAGGAUAAACAUUUUCUAAUUAAAAAAAUCAUCAUCAUUAGAAAAAGAAUGUGCUUAUAAAAAAAAAUUAUUUCGAAAAAGGAUAUUUUUGACGUAUUAAGUAGCAUUAGUGACAUUUUUUAAUCAAACUAUUGACGGCAAAAACAUUUUUAGACCAAACUAGUAAUUGAUAACUAACUCCAUGUAUCUUUUUAACUGAUCAUAUAGGUCAUAUAUAUAAGAUCAUAGUAACCCCAUUAAUAUUCAAAGAAAAUAGAAAAUACUUUUAUAUCUUAACCUUAAUUGAAGUAGAAUAAACAUUUUCUAAUUAUAAUUAUCAUCGUUAGGAAAAUAGUUCUUUUCUUAAAAAGAAGUAACAUAUUUAUUUCAAAAAGACAUUUUUGACCCAUUAAACAACAUUAGGGUUACUUUUUGACCAAAUGUUAACAGUAAGGGCAGUUUUAGAUCAUAGUAUUAAUUGAUGACAUUUUUAUUCAAUUUCACAUAGUUAAAGGAUAUUUUUGAUAUUUUUUUAUGUUCCUAUUUUAAAAUGGAAAAAAGGAGUUAAGAACCUAUAGUUUGGCGGGGACCAUAUACCACCAAAUUCACAUAUAUUUCUAUUGGAAAUGAAAUUUUCACCAACUGAGCUAAAAUUUUAUCGUCCAUCAAGAUUUUUUUGAAAUUAAAACUCGCUAAUAGUCGGGGCCAGAUAAUUCAUUGUUCAAAUGCUUUAAGAUAGAUGUGUCAAAUGAGCGGAUUGAAUUGAAUUAGGGCAAGUAAAAUUGGAAUGAGUUAAUAAAUAAACGGGUUAAUAGCUAUUUGGACCGAAUGAGUUGAAUUGAAAUAAACUAAAAUGCAGGUCAUAACCCUCUGACUUUCUUCCACAUGUACUUUACAUACAGGGGCGUAUCCAGAGGGGGUGUUGUCGGUUCACGUGAACCCAUCUCCCCUCUCUAGAUCAUAUAUAGUAAUGUUAUAUAGAUGUGUGAACCCACGUUCAAAGUAUCAUAUAAUAAUACGAUGAUGAUUGGGUGCACCCCUCUAAGUGAGGAUAGAAAUUUAAAUCUUAUAUCUAUCUUGUCUUUUACUAACACUUCUCUAAGUGGUUAUUGGUUACAUUUUUGACGUUUCAGCUAAUUAUUCUUUUGUUUUUUUCCUUUAAUCUUUUAAAAUUUUCAAGUGUGUUACAUUAAAAAUCAUAAAAAAAUUAGCACUGUAAAAUUUUUAUAUAAUUAAAUGAAAUGUGUAUAUUAAAAUUUAAAACUAGUAGCAUUAUAUGUUUUGGACCUAUAAUUUUUAAAAUUUAAUGGUUCAUAUUAAAAACCUAAAAGUAAAACCAGUCAAAUUUAUAUUUAAGAAACAUUUUUUUUGUAAUUGUGCACCCAUCUUGCGAAAAUCCUGGAUACACCUCUGUUUACAUAUUCUGUGUGUUCGUUAUCAUAUCUACGUAUUGUCAUUGAUAGAAAAAGCUUCUAAUUUGUUAAUAUUACACUUUGCUAUGAACUUCCUACACAAAACUAUUACUCCCAAUGCCAACAUGAUUUAACAAGAGCAAAUAAUUAAUAAACUAAGAGAAGUAAUGAAAAAUAAAUAUCGAUGUAAGAACUUGCAGGCCUGAAGAAAGAAAUACACCACCAACUACUAAAUAUGUGCAAACAUUCAAGGAUAGUGCAAAUAGAAUGUAUCCUGCAUUAAAAAGAUUUUCUAUAGUGACAGCAGAUCUUCGUUCUACUGUGAAGCUAGCAAAGUUUCAUUCUUGGCAUGGGAUAUUUGAUGCUUAAUUACGAGAACUUAAAUUUCAAUUAUACAUGGUUACAUAAGCUACAUAUGAUGUCUUUCCCAAUUGAGAUGUGAAAUUAAAAUGUGGUAAGAGCAUAAACCAAUAAGCAAUGAGAAACUAAUCCAUACCUCCCAUCCAAGAUAUAUGCAAUUCUAUAACGCACAACAUUUAGAAUCUAUAAUAUCUAAUUCUAACAAUGGAAGUUUUCAUAUCGAACUGAAGAUGAUUUCUUGGCUUCAAUGUGGCAAUAGACACUCAAUGUUGCUCAACAAGAUUUUUAAAAAGGGAAAGCAAAGUGAAGUAAACAAAAAUAGAAAGCUUGUGAGGAAAAAGAAUAACUUACAUUUGUUUUAAUCAUUAAAGGCAUUCCCAAUCGAUCUCUAUGUUCGAGAUAUGAGCACUUUCUGGCCAAUAAUAUUCCCCCUUGUCAAAUUCUAGUAGUGGUUUGAGCAAUGGGUAGUCGGAAACAUAUAGUUCAGAGAGGGAAGAGAGCAUCCCUUUUACGGAUUUGAGAUUAGGGCAAUCCUUGAUGAUCAGCUUAGAUAGGGAAGAGGGCAUCCCUUUUACUGGAAGGGAUUGGAAAUUCGGGCAAUCCUCGAUGAUCAGCUCAGAGAGGGAGGAGGGUAGUGCUGAUUCAGGAAGUGAUCAGAGCUCAUGAUGGCGAGAUAAAUGUAGCUCAUAAAGAGAUGAGGGAAGCCGCCCUUGUUCCAUCAUUGACUGAAUUUGAGGUAAAUCAACCAUAUAUAUAUAUUCAAGAGAGGUGAGGCUUUUGAGAACUUGGCUGCUUAAUGUUUUCAGAUUGCGUAUGGUAAGUCAUUGAAUAGAGCAAGGCAACUCCCAAUGUUCUAUCUCUUUGUCACUGCCAUCAUGUGCGAUCACUAACUCUCUGAGACAGGGUAAAUGCCACACCUUUCGACCAUUCACCAGUUUCGUGUAAUUAUAGAUCUCAAGUACUUGUAAAUUGAAGGAUAAUUCUCCUUCAGGAAAUGACACUGUUUCUGGACAAUUCCACAGAUUCAGUGUUUUAAGAGAUGGAAGGAGUUGCUGCAUACGUUCUGGCAGCCACUUCAGCUUUGAACAGUUGAAAAUGCACAAAUACUUCAUCUGUGUCCCCGAACAUGCCACCGAAGUUAUUUCAAGAUUCUCACAAUUCCAAAUAUGGAGACUUUCAGUGGCAGUAGGAAUCAAAAAGCUAGUAAGGUUGGGGCAAUUUUGUACCCUCAAUUUGCGUGCUCUCGGGAGCAAGUCACAUUCUUGCAGUGUCAAAUCCUCCAGAAACAUGUUAGAAUAACUCAUCUCACAAACUGGCUGCUCCAAUUUCAAUUUCUGGCAACGAGAUAUCCGUAUUGUCUUCAAGUUACUCGGCAGAAUGCUAAAAGGUAAGGAGGUAAGAGAGUUACAAUGAGCAACAGAUAAUUUAACAAUUCUGUCAGCCUGCAUUCCUUGAAGUUGGGAUGCAAACAGUGCAGCGUCGUCGAAAAGAGGUGUCCUUGAAAUGUUCAAUUCUGUCAGAGAAGAAAGAUUUUCAGGCAACUUUCCCAUCAACUUGCAAUUGAAA
rnacentral:lncRNA from 1 species